UUUUCCUGCGUGCAUGAGAUUUUUGUCUUCUAGUCUUUCACGACCGUGAGACAUGAUCGCGGGUGUGUUUUGAUAUUACGAUCUAUAGAGAAGCCACGUACGCGUUACGUAAUGCAGUAGCAAAUGCCAAAUUAUUUCACGCGCAUCGGCAGAAAUCGUUGCCAACUACGUGCGAAACGCCGGGCUCGCCGCCGCCGUCGCCUCCACCGCCGCCUCCGACGUGUUUUGGCGAUGCUUGGCGCUGUAACACGAGAAGCUUUUGGCGAACAUGUAGAAACGCGAAUUGCGGAUUCUUUCCCCAAGUAACUUUUUCCGAGCGUUAUACGACCAUAAGCGCUAUUAUUAAGAGAGUGCCAAUGUCGAGCAGCGGCGACCGUCGCGGAUUUAGCGACAGCUUUCACGCGCAAACUGUCAGAUAUUCGACAACAUUCUCGUGCUAUCGUAGUCAAAUAAUUUCCCGCGCGAACGUUUUGUUGACAGAAUUGGAAAAAAAUGCGUCCACGAGGAUUAGCUCCGAUGAGGAAGAGAAGAAGAGAGAGCAUCGUCGUACGUCGCUGGUAAUCCGAGGCAAAUUAUUUGGGCGUUCUAUUUCGAGAAGGUGCCUUUGCGAAACCCGCGCGAGCCGGGUCGGGCCUCGCUCGCCACGAUGAUGGCAGCGAUUUCGACGGCGACGUCGUCUUCACGGGACCCACGUUUUCUUUCCGAGACAAAUAAUGCGGCCGCGCGUAUCCGGUUUGCGAUCCCGUUGAAACGAAGUCAAAACGAUUUCCGUCGACCAGCGCGGACAGAAAAAUAUUUAGACGCGCAUUUUUGGAGGCUGCAUAAAAGAUGUUAGGGCGCGUUUAACGUGAUUUAUGAGUAACUAUGGACAAUGUGAGCACGCGAGCCUCAUCGCGGCAAUAAAUAUUUUCAUCAGCAGACCGAUCAAACUCGUGUAAAUCGACAAAAAUACGUAUCUCCUCCUACUUACGAGAUAGGAAUGAAUAUGGGGAAAAUACGAAG